GAUGAACGCUGGCGGCGUGCCUAAUACAUGCAAGUCGAGCGAACGGACGAGAAGCUUGCUUCUCUGAUGUUAGCGGCGGACAGGUGGGUAACACGUGGAUAACCUACCUAUAAGACUGGGAUAACUUCGGGAAACCGUAGCUAAUACCGGAUAAUAUUUUGAACCGCAUGGUUCAAAAGUGAAAGACGGUCUUGCUGUCACUUAUAGAUGGAUCCGCGCUGCAUUAGCUAGUUGGUAAGGUAACGGCUUACCAAGGCAACGAUGCAUAGCCGACCUGAGAGGGUGAUCGGCCACACUGGAACUGAGACACGGUCCAGACUCCUACGGGAGGCAGCAGUAGGGAAUCUUCCGCAAUGGGCGAAAGCCUGACGGAGCAACGCCGCGUGAGUGAUGAAGGUCUUCGGAUCGUAAAACUCUGUUAUUAGGGAAGAACAUAUGUGUAAGUAACUGUGCACAUCUUGACGGUACCUAAUCAGAAAGCCACGGCUAACUACGUG
rnacentral:rRNA from 1 species